rnacentral:lncRNA from 1 species
ACCAAACUAGGUAAAAAAUAAAUCCAAAAUAAAUUGAAAAUGCAAAAUAAAAUUCCAAGAAAAGGUCAGGUUGACCAUGGGACAUUGGUCAACCUUCAUCCCAACCUUCAUCCCAGAAAAGGUAUAGUGCCUAGGUUUCUAAUUUUGAAAGCAAUGUUACCUUCUUAGAGUGGAGAGAAGAAGAGAAGGGCUAGGUCCUAAACAUGGAAAGAUGAGGGAAGAG